rnacentral:rRNA from 1 species
GACGAACGCUGGCGGCGUGCCUAAUACAUGCAAGUCGAGCGGAUGGAAGGAAGCUUGCUUCCUAAAGUCAGCGGCGGACGGGUGAGUAACACGUGGGCAACCUGCCCCUAAGAUCGGGAUAACUUCGGGAAACCGGAGCUAAUACCGGAUAUGAUUAUGUCUCACAUGAGACAUAAUGGAAAGACGGUUUCGUGUGUCACUUAGGGAUGGGCCCGCGGCGCAUUAGCUAGUUGGUGAGGUAAUGGCUCACCAAGGCGACGAUGCGUAGCCGACCUGAGAGGGUGAUCGGCCACACUGGGACUGAGACACGGCCCAGACCCCUACGGGAGGCAGCAGUAGGGAAUCUUCCGCAAUGGACGAAAGUCUGACGGAGCAACGCCGCGUGAGUGAAGAAGGUUUUCGGAUCGUAAAACUCUGUUGUUAGGGAAGAACAAGUACCAUAGUAACUGAUGGUACCUUGACGGUACCUAACCAGAAAGCCACGGCUAACUACGUGCCAGCAGCCGCGGUAAGAC